rnacentral:rRNA from 1 species
GACAGAGGGGGCAAGCGUUGCUCGGAAUUACUGGGCGUAAAGGGCGCGUAGGCGGGAUGGCAAGUCGGUCGUGAAAUCCCUCGGCUCAACCGAGGAACGUCGAUCGAUACUGCUGUUCUUGAGGAUUGCAGAGGAGACUGGAAUUCCCGGUGUAGCGGUGAAAUGUGUAGAGAUCGGGAGGAACACCGGUGGCGAAGGCGGGUCUCUGGGCAGUUCCUGACGCUGAGGCGCGAAAGCGUGGGGAGCAAACGGG